rnacentral:tRNA from 1 species
CCGUCAUUGGCGUAGCAGGUAGCGCGGCUGGUUUGGGGCCAGCAGGUCGGGGGUUCAAAUCCUUCAUGACGGACCA